GGUGAACCUGCGGAAGGAUCAUUAGACCCGCCUAUCUUGGGGGCGAAAACCCUAUGCCAUCCUUGUGCUAUGUCUACACUGUGAGUGCUGUACUUUUGUGUGUGCGUUUGCGCGCACACACAACUGUGCCUGCACUGUAUUUUACACCCAUUUUCCUUUCAACCCUUCUUAACCUCUUUUUGCUUGGCAACAAGCAUCAAAAAAACAAUCGAAAACUGCCAGCAAUGGAUCACUCGGUUCUCGCAUCGAUGAAGAGCGUAGCGAAUUGCGAAAAGUAAUGUGAUUUGCAACAGUCGUGAAUCAUUGAAUUCUUGAACGCACCUUGCACUGUGUGGGCAACUGCACAGUCUGCCUGUUUGAGUAUUGACUAGAAAUUCAACUCAGCCACGCGCUGGAUGAUGAGUGCUUCACUCCUCCCUUGGAGUGGCACUUGCAAGGCAACUAUUUGCACGCACUACGUGUGUGUUUGACGGUGUUUACACACUCUCAUGAUCUCGAGGCACACACUCGUUGCUACUCAAUCGGUGUUCAUGGGCAGGAAGUCAGGCACAACCAAGCACUAGGGCGUUGACUUACUCAGUCACCUUCUCUUUUCAUGCAAUCUCAAAUCAGGUAGGAUUACCCGCUUAACUUAAGCAUAUCAGUCAGCGGAGGAAAAGAAACCAACAGGGAUUCCUUUAGUAACGGCGAGUGAAGCGGGAAUAGCUCAGGCUGAAAAUCAAGUGUUCCCUCAGGACGUCUUGACGUGUGGUCUGACGAGGCAUGCUCGGCGACAGUGCAAACUCAAGUCCUCUGAAAGGGCACCAUGGAGGGUGACAGUCCCGUUCGCAGUUUGCAUGUGUACGUUGCCAUGAGAGCUGUCUUCAGAGAGUCGGGUUGCUUGGGAGUGCAGCCCAAAUGGGGUGGUAUACGCCAUCCAAGGCUAAAUAUCAGCGAGAGACCGAUAGCGAACAAGUACUGUGAAGGAAAGUUGAAAAGCACUCUGGAGAGAGAGUCAAACGAGCACGUGAAAUUGCUGGCAGGGAAGCGCUGGGCGUCAGUGCGCAUGCGCAAGGGAACAGGUUAGGGGUGGUGGUCUGUAGCUGUGUGCAAUGUGCAUGGCCAUGGUGCUGCUACCGUCAGCUGCAAGCCCUUGUGCGUGGGUCAGCAUCGGUUAAGGCGACGCCACAUAACGGCUUGGUUUACGGCACAUCUGUGUUGUAGGCCGAGUGCGGCGUGGUUCUCUUGACCGUGGAA
rnacentral:rRNA from 1 species